rnacentral:rRNA from 1 species
AGUCUGGUGCCAGCAGCCGCGGUAAUUCCAGCUCCAACAGCGUAUGCUAGAGUUGUUGCAGUUAAAACGCUCGUAGUUGGAUUUCGGGGUAUAUCGCACGAUUCAGCCCAGGUGGUUUGUAGUUGUGCGAUUGCCCUUUUCUAGUGGAUACUCGCCGGGCCUCUUAAUUGAGGCACGGUUGUGCUUUUGCCGAGUUCCACUUCGUUUACUGUGUACAAAUUAGAGUGUUUCAAGCAGGCUUUUUAGCUUGGAUAUCAAAGCAUGGGAUAAUAGAAUAGGCUUUUGGUUAAUUUUGUUGGUUUUGUUAGUCAAAAGAAUGGUUAAAAGGGACAGUUGGCGUCGACUGUACUCCAAGGCUAGAGGUGAAAUCCUAUGAUUCUUGGAUGACAAACAACUGCGAAGGCAUUCGACGAGGAUGUUUUCAUUAAUCAAGAACGAUAGUGAGGGGUUCGAAGAUGAUCAGAUACCGUCGUAGUCCUCACCGUAAACUAUGCCAACGGAGGAUUUGAAGUCGUUUUUUAUGACUCUUCAAGCACUCACAGCGAAAGCUUGAGUUUUUGGGUUCUGGGGGGAGUACGGUCGCAAGGCUGAAACUUGAAGAAAUUGACGGAAGGGCAUCACCGGGAGUGGAGCCUGCGGCUUAAUUUGACCCAACACGGGUAAACUUACUUGGUCCGGACAGAAGAAGGAUUGACAGAUUGAGAGUUCUUUCAUAAUUUUCUGGGUGGUGGUGCAUGGCCGUUCUUAAUUCGUGGAUUGAUUUGUCUGGUUGAUUCCGAUAACGAGUGAGACCCCUUUCUGCUAAAUAGUCACGACUUGAUCCUCGGAACAAGCCGGAAGAACUUCUUAGAGAGACCACGCGUAUCGAGCGCGGGGAAGUGGGGGGCUAUAACAGGUCUGUGAUGCCCUUAGACGUCCGAGGCUGCACGCGUGCUACAAUGGCUGUAUCAACAAGUUCUUCCUUCUCCGAAAGGAGUGGGCAAUCUUUGAAAUGCAGUCGUGCUGGGGAUUGAGCGCUGGAAUAAUGCUCAUGAACGAGGAAUUCCUUGUAGGCGCAAGUCAUUAUCUUGCACCGAAUGCGUCCCUGCCUUUUGUACACACCGCCCGUCGCUACUACCGAUUGGUGCGUUUGGUGAGGUCUUUGGAGAGCGAUUGUCGUGGUGGUUCGCCGUCACAAAGUUGCUUGAAAUUGAUCAAAUCGCACGCACUAGAGGAAGUAAAAGUCGUAACAAGG